GCUUGUUUUGACAGCAUUCAAAGGUGAAAGAAGCUUAAAUAUUCUGAACCCAAUUUUACAUUAGAAUUUGACAGUACAUUAUCAUAGUUUUCCCAAGACAC
rnacentral:pre_miRNA from 11 species